rnacentral:rRNA from 1 species
GACGAACGCUGGCGGCGUGCUUAACACAUGCAAGUCGAGCGGUAAGGCCCUUUCGGGGGUACACGAGCGGCGAACGGGUGAGUAACGCGUGGGUGACCUGCCCUCAGCUCUGGGAUAAGCCUGGGAAACCGGGUCUAAUACCGGAUAUGACUCCAUGACGCAUGUUGUGGGGUGGAAAGCCUUGUGCGGCUGAGGAUGGGCCCGCGGCCUAUCAGCUUGUUGGUGGGGUGAUGGCCUACCAAGGCGACGACGGGUAGCCGGCCUGAGAGGGCGACCGGCCACACUGGGACUGAGACACGGCCCAGACUCCUACGGGAGGCAGCAGUGGGGAAUCUUGCGCAAUGGGCGAAAGCCUGACGCAGCGACGCCGCGUGAGGGAUGACGGCCUGU